rnacentral:rRNA from 1 species
UAACUAGCUGUCAGGGCACAUGGUGUUUUGGUGGCGCAGCUAACGCAUUAAGUUAUCCGCCUGGGGAGUACGGUCGCAAGAUUAAAACUCAAAGGAAUUGACGGGGGCCUGCACAAGCGGUGGAGCAUGUGGUUUAAUUCGAAGCAACGCGCAGAACCUUACCAACGUUUGACAUCCCUAUCGCGGAUCGUGGAGACACUUUCCUUCAGUUCGGCUGGAUAGGUGACAGGUGCUGCAUGGCUGUCGUCAG